CGUCACCUCCCGUGCCCUAAGACCUCGUCCCGAUCUGGCCGGAGUUCGCUGCAAGAGCUCCUGUCGCCGGUCAAGUUCGUCGCUGCCGUGGGUUCACAGCCCCUCCUCAUGCUCUAUCAACUUCUGCUCAACUCCGCCUUCACCGCUCCAGCCUGUCACUGUCGCCACCGGAGCAAGCUCCAAUUGUGUCGGAGGUCACCCACUUCAUCUCCGUCGCGCUCUCCACUCGUAGGUCAUAUCUGCGUAGCCGUAGGCCCUCUGUAGCCGUCGCCCAUAUCACCACCGAGCCGCCGGCGCCGUCCUUCUCCAACUCCGACGACGCCCAGCUCUGUUCUCAGCGAACACAUCACCAGCAAUAGUAAUGCGCCACGUGGAACAUCGACAGCCGCAGCAGUUCUUCGAAAAGAUCUAUUUUUGACACAAUAUUCUUUUGACAGAUUCCAUGUCAAAUGUUCAUUUAGAUUGUCCGGAGUGUGAAGCGGAUCAAAAUUAAUCGUUAGAGUACUUCAACACCGUUCAAGGCAAGUUUGCACUUUUGAUUUUGCUUAUCCUAUAUUCUAGUAUGCAUGUGUGAUUUUUAUGCUAUGAGAUGUGCUUGGUUUUAUCUGUAUGUUCUCUGUUGUCAUAUUCUGAUAUUGAUUGUAUUAUGUGAUGGUGUGAUCAACUUGCCAUGAUAGACGUGGGAUGUGUUGAGUGAUCCAUGAAAGUGGUGAGUGUUUAUAGCCGUAGGCUCGGGAUUAUUAACCAGGUGAAUGCAUCACUGGCAGAGCGCUCUAUUGUCCCUAGAGAAUGCGCCAUUGACAGAGCGCACUUGAGGCGAGGUUUAGUUUUCAGAACUUAAAUCAGGUGAAUGCGUCCUUGGCAGAGCGCUCUAUUGUUCCUAGAGAAUGCACCACUGAUAGAGCGCACUUGAGAUACUUCUGAAGUUCUUGUCAUGUUUACUUAGAAUCUUUGGGGUUAUCUUGGGCGAAUGAAUUAGGGGCGGUUGUGAGUUCAGGUAGUGGAGGUAGGUGAAGACUUUCUUCUCCAAAUUAACUUGAGUGUUUUGUUUGUCAUACUUUACUUGUGGAUGUAGGUUUGCUAUAUCUUAUUGUGUGAUUUGCCAAUACAUUCAAUGUAUUGACCCUUGUGGCUGCAACUUAUCAUGUUGGAGGAUUUUCAGAUGAUCAUUGAGAUACAGUAGGGUCGCGAGUCUUCACUCAACAUUUUCACCAGUGAGCAUUGAUGGGACUCAUCGUCUAUUAUGCUACA